rnacentral:rRNA from 1 species
GGGCCCGCACAAGCGGUGGAGCAUGUGGUUUAAUUCGAUGAUACGCGAGGAACCUUACCAGGGCUUAAAUGUAGUUUGACCGGUCUGGAAACAGACUUUCUCUUCGGAGCAGAUUACAAGGUGCUGCAUGGUUGUCGUCAGCUCGUGCCGUGAGGUGUUAGGUUAAGUCCUGCAACGAGCGCAACCCCUAUUCUUAGUUGCCAGCGGUUCGGCCGGGGACUCUAAGAAGACUGCCAGCGCAAGCUGAGAGGAAGGUGGGGAUGACGUCAAAUCAUCACGGCCCUUACGUCCUGGGCUACACACGUGCUACAAUGGUAGAGACAGAGGGUUGCGAAGCGGCGACGUGGAGCCAA